ensembl:lncRNA
UGUGUCUGUGUGUGCGUGUGUCUGUGUGUGUGUGUGUGUGCCCCUGUGAUGCUGCUACAUUCAUAUCUUGCCAAUAAAUUGAUGCUGAUAAGUAACCUAUUAUCUAAAAUAACACAUACACAGCGAGGUAUGGACCUUACGGUCUUACGGUGGUCGGUAAGAGAAAAAGGAUCUUUCUCUAGCGGCUGUAAAACGACGUGCUGCCAGAUGCUGGUGGAAGUGACUUGUACGUGGAAGCCUGUUCCUGGAUGAAAGCUGCAGUGGAAGUUCCCUCUCAUGGAGCGAAGGAACUCAAGGAGGGAAAGAGGAGAGGGGAAGAGGAAAGACGGCGCAGAGGGAAGGACUGAGUGGUACUUAUUGGAUGAAGACUUCAAAGCAGCACAGCAGCCAGACGGACUGAGGCUCCGGGGAAAUUAUUUACCUGACAAGCACACAGCUUUCCAAACAUUACACAACAUUACUGACCAAACAUUUAGAAAACAGAACCCUCUCUCCACAGAUUUAGUUAGGUGAAUCACAUCCGGUGAGUAAGCAGAUUAUUCAACAGAGGGACGAGAUGUCUCUGCUGUCUCUCUCGUCCCCCGUCACUCCAACUUUUCAAAAUCACAGAUGAUCAACACACUGGAACUGCUCACUGUGACGCUACAAUGAAGUUUACUUUUCUGCAGCUGUGUAACAUCUGUGGCUCAAAGAAGC